CUCCUGCGGGUCCCCUUGAGGUCCACUCCAACCAACGAAGACAUGCCGGAGACCCUGACCGACUCUCUUAUUAUUAUUGUAUAUUUUUUUUGUUUCACGAGAAAGUGACGUUUCUGAUUUUAUUAUUAUGUUACUAUGUUUUCUUAAAUAAUAUCAGAAUGAUUGAUACUCUUCUUAACUAAUAACAAAUACAUAGGUACUUGAUAUCACAAUAUUUGAAGCGUAUUUUAUUAAUAUGACAGACACCCGUGUUUGAUUCUUAACUCUAUGGACACAGAACGGCGUACUGUAAGACGGACCAAUCAGCAUGCGAGGUGCGUUUCCUCGUGUGUCGGUUCACAAUUUUACGGUUUCUUGUCGAUAGAUUAUAAUCUACCGAAAAACAAUCCGUAAAAUUGUAAUCACUAAGUUACGGUACACAAUCUUUCGACAGUUUACAAUCUCGCUAGUUAGAUUAUAAACUAACGCUUUUUACAAUUUUACGGUGACAUAUAUACUUACAAGUUACAACUCAACUAAAAAAAUAAUUUUCGAAAUGACGGAGAUAUCAAACAUUAAAAAACCGAAAUAAUACCUCCUUUUUAGGGUUCCGUAGACAAAUGGCAAAAAACGGAACCCUUAUAGAUUUGUCAUGUCUGUCUGUCUGUCCGUCCGUAUGUCACAGCCACAUUUUUCCGAAACUAUAAGAACUGUUGAAACUUGGUAAGUAGAUGUAUUCUGUGAACCGCAUUAAGAUUUCAACACAAAAAUAGAAAAAAAAACAAUAAAUUUUGGGGGGUUCCCCAUACAUAGAACUGAAACUCAAAAAAUUUUUUUUCGUCAAACCCAUACGUGUGGGGUAUCUAUGGAUAGGUCUUCAAAAAUAAUAUUGAGGUUUCUAAUA